rnacentral:rRNA from 1 species
GGAAUUUUCCGCAAUGGGCGAAAGCCUGACGGAGCAACGCCGCGUGAGGGAUGAAGGCCUCUGGGCUGUAAACCUCUUUUAUCAAGGAAGAAGAUCUGACGGUACUUGAUGAAUAAGCCACGGCUAAUUCCGUGCCAGCAGCCGCGGUAAUACGGGAGUGGCAAGCGUUAUCCGGAAUUAUUGGGCGUGAAGCGUCCGCAGGCGGUCUUUUAAGUCUGCUGUUAAAGCGUGGAGCUUAACUCCAUUUCGGCAGUGGAAACUGGAAGACUAGAGUGUGGUAGGGGCAGAGGGAAUUCCCGGUGUAGCGGUGAAAUGCGUAGAUAUCGGGAAGAACACCAGUGGCGAAGGCGCUCUGCUGGGCCAUAACUGACGCUCAUGGACGAAAGCCAGGGGAGCGAAAGGGAUUAGAUACCCCAGUAGUC